UUUUCCUAUUGUUCCUUUGUUGGGGAAAUCACUUGCACUAUGCUACAUCCUAGCUAUCUUUUUUCUCUCCGAGCAAUAUGAGUUCCUAUCUACUGAUAAACUCGUGAUUUUUGUUACAGAUCAAUGUUUAAAAAGUGAUAAACGCCCGGAGCUCCAUCAAGGGCAAAUACUUCAGUCAAUUUGUAAGGAAGGUGCUCCUGGAGCUACACUCUUGCAAACCACGUAUGGUACCUUGACAAAUCCUGAUAACAACAUUGGGACCUCAUCGGUGACGAAUGCAGGUGCUGCUACACCCUUCACGGGACAGGCUACUAAACAUUUUUGUUUCUCUUCAGCUGCAAAUUCAGGCUGAAGCUGGAUUUGCACGGUGAACUUGACGGCCUAAUUAUGUGGGGGCAGUGCCCUUACUUCUGGUGCUCCGGUCUACGUAAAGAUGACAGAUCAAUGUUUACACUAUUAGGUUAUUUUGCUGCUAUUUGCGCUAUGUUGAAUUAUUGACUCGAGGCUUGCUAGUCCCAUAGCUAGAACAUCUAUUCUAUGUAAGCACCAACUAUUUUCGU